UAUUAACCAAGUCAUAUCUAAUCUGUAAAACUAAAUAAAAUGUGAACUCAAGAAGUUGUUUAGCAAACACAGAAAAUACACCUGCCCAGCCAUGAUUGGUUGAGGUAGUGAGGGGGCUGGGACAUUCACGAGAAAGAGAGUCCAUUCUGUCAAUCAAUGCUUAUUUUUCAAAUGGCACGUCCUGCUCUCUGCUACCACGGACAUUUGAAAGAUCAGUCAUUGGAUUUAAUCAUAUUUUUCUUCAUGGACAACAUGUGAAGUGUAGCUACAGCUUUCAAUAACAGUGUUGUUCUGAAUACAGGUGCUGGUAUCGAUACAGCUUGUGUCUACUGUACUGUUGGCAAAAGCAGUCUAUUUGAAGCCGAGUGGGAAUGAUUAUUUAGAAAAGGUUUCAGUCUGCCAUGAAUCAUCAUCAUAAUCCAUACACAGCAGUUUGGUGGUUGUGACCCCUCUAUUAUACCAUGGGAGACCCUGUGCCUUUCUCCAUCCUGAAUGAGAGACUGAGACCACAGUUCACUGCCAUGGAACAACUCUGCUACUCCCUGCACACCCUGGAAGAUGGACACCAGCUGCCUGGCACUGUCAGUGGCAGUUCAACCACACGGUCUACAAUAUUGAGCGAUGAAAGACAAACACAGGACGAUUCAAGCUCGACCAUGAUCGAACCAGAGGAUGACCCAGAGAAGGAGGAUGUGGUCACAGAAGGGUUGACUUCGCAGACCGAAGAGGGGAACGACUGUCAUGAUCUGUUCACCAUGACCAGUACCUGCUUGAUGCCGUCUUUGACCGCAGAAGAUGCUGGUCCUGAUGGUUCUGGUGAGCUGACCGUGGUCAAGGAGAGUUUGGCCAUAGAGAAUGGCGAUCCAGGUGUUUUGACCAUGGUCAGUGAGGAUAAGAGCCCUUUCAGACGGAGCAACGUAGACAGAACCUUACCGGACCUCAUCAGGAGUGGACAACAGCUCGGCAGACGCAGAACAUUAGGACCAGUCUCAGACACGUUGAAGGAAGUGCGUCGGGAGGUGGCGUUGUCAGUUAGACGCAGUCUGAGGCUGAAGGCUCAGGUGGACAAACUGCAGGAGAACAGAGACCAACCGGCAUGGAGCCAACACAGGGAGAAGGUUACAGAGGAGGUUCAGUCCGUUCUGAGGUUGUUGCUUCCUCUGACAGAAGCAGAGUCCAGCACAGUAGAACCAUCUGUUCAGGAGAACAGUCUGGAUACAGCGCUGGUCCUGCUGCAGAACGUCGCACGCAAACUAGCCCUGAGCCACACAGCACAGGUGAGUCUAAACUAG
rnacentral:lncRNA from 8 species